GCUUGACGUCGCCAUGAAGUUGAGCGGCCUCGUCGCACCCACUGUGACCCUUCUCCUCUUCCUCUGCCUGCACGUGGCGCGGCCCGUGUGGCAGAGGCGGCAGCAAGCUUUAAAACCUGGAUAUUGCCCAGAGUUUUUACUUGAGUGCCCUUUCAUCCUCUUACCUCUGUGCGAGUGCGAUCGGCGUUGCCCCAGGAUGAAGAAGUGUUGUUUCUACAACUGCAGGAAGCAGUGUGUGGAGCCCUUGCUGGAUUGAGGUAGACACCCCUUCUCCACCAGACCUGAGAAGACCCAGGGGACAGGCUGAGGCGUGGAUAACUGAUUCCCAGUCCCCCCAACGCUCCUCUCUCUCCCCAAACUUCCUUUCAUCAAGAGUGAAAUGCUCAUUAAUAUGAAAGCAACAGAACAAAAUAAAGUGUUAUAUACUUAAAACUACA